ACCCGCUGAACUUAAGCAUAUCAAUAAGCGGAGGAAAAGAAACCAACAGGGAUUGCCUCAGUAACGGCGAGUGAAGCGGCAAAAGCUCAGAUUUGAAAUCUGGCGUUAUAUCAACGUCCGAGUUGUAAUCUGUAGAGAGGUAUUCGAGUGUGGAUUUGGCUUAAGUUCCUUGGAACAGGACGUCACAGAGGGUGAGAACCCCGUUUCGGCCUUUGUCUUAUGCUCAUGUGAAUCUUCUUCAACGAGUCGAGUUGUUUGGGAAUGCAGCUCUAAAUGGGUGGUAAAUUCCAUCUAAAGCUAAAUACUGGCAAGAGACCGAUAGCGCACAAGUAGAGUGAUCGAAAGAUGAAAAGAACUCUGAACAGAGAGUUAAAUAGUACGUGAAAUUGUUGAAAGGGAAGCACUUGCAACCAGACUCGCUUGCAGUUAAUCAACCUCCAUUUUUGGUGGUGCACUUAGCUGUAGGUGGGCCAGCAUCAGUUGUGUCGGUGGGAUAAAGACUUUAGGAAUGUGGCUCUCUUCGGGGAGUGUUAUAGCCUAUUGUGUAAUGCCAUCUGACGCGACUGAGGACCGCGCUUCGGCAAGGAUGCUGGCAUAAUGGUUGU
rnacentral:rRNA from 1 species